rnacentral:tRNA from 1 species
GGAGGGGUGGCAGAGUGGUCGAUUGCACCUGUCUUGAAAACAGGAGUCUCAGAAAUGGGACCAAGAGUUCGAAUCUCUUCCCCUCCG